rnacentral:sRNA from 1 species
CUCCACCACAAUUAUUGCAAUGGGGUCAACUUUCUCCUCUUCGGUUAACCCGCAGACGAGUCAAUCGUGUCCACCCCCCGAUUCUGAAAGGGAAACCCUGCCACCAUAUACCUCGGCGCGGCCGCCCCCAUACAGUCUACUUCCUCCAUCGCGCAGGUCCAUUUCACGUCGGAACACAUCCGCAGCGACAAAUACCCGAGGCCCGCCACGCUUAUCAAAGAGAAAACUGCUAGACGCCUUCCGCAUCAUUGCUGACUACCUUUCCCAGAGAAACGUGAAUAUCACCAUAAUAGCUUCCACGGAUGUUGUGGAUAUAGUCCAUCUUGAUAUCUUCGAUACGACUGAUGAAGUUACCUUUUUCAACUACAGGCUCGCAAGCGAUGCCGCGGUCGUACUCAGCGAUGCAGUCCACGAAGCCGUGAAGCACCUGGGGCUUCAAGAUACCAGCUUCUUAUUAGAUCCAUGUUUCUCACAAGAGAUGGGGAGGCGCUUGACUGACAAGGCGAUCCACCAGAAUGCCAUCAUCUAUCGCCACGGUGGUCUCACUGUCAUGGCUCCGCCAUGGAGCUAUAUCUUCUGUCGUCAGG